UUAUUGCUUUGUUUUGCAUGGAUAGAAAAUAUGGAACAACUGCUGGGGGAAGAAGAGAGAAGAGAAUUAAAGUUCUACAUCAGAUUGUUGGGGAAGAGUGAGGAAUUCUGGAUUUGGAGCUUGAGAUCCUGGAUUCAAGUUCCAAUUCUGCAGCUUAUUAUCUCUACCACUUUUGAGGAAUAAAAUCCAGUGAGACUCAACAAAUUUUCAAGUUACACACCUCAGAAUGACAGAUUUGGGACCAGAAUCUAGAUCUCGUGUAUCUAAUGGUGUUCUUUGAACUGCAUCCAAGUAUUCUUGUUCAAUAAGGAGGAAUGUGGAACAAAUCAAGUAGGUAGGCAUGAAUAUUUAUUAUUACCAGAGAGUAAGGGAUCCAAAAGUUCUGAGGUGUUAUCUCUUUUUGACACUUACUGCCUAUUACUGGAACUCAUCUUUUGAAUAAGGUAUGAGAAUGGCAUUAUAUUCUUGCUUAAAUUUUGGUCCUUUUUUAACAAAUUGUUUAGCAUUCUCUGCUACACAUUGAUUUGGUAGAAAACAUAAAGGUUCUGCAUAAUAUCAACCAAUAUUCUAUCAGUUAUGUUUAUGUAAAUGUACAUGACUAAAUUUAUAUUAAAAAUUUAAAAACUAAAAGUAGCUGUGAUUAUCCUAAAAUAGAGCAAAUUUGAAUAUCAACGUUUAUUUUAACUAAAUGAUGAUUGGCACAAUGACAGACAAAUAAUCUAAUAGAAUAGACUACAGGAAAAGGUGUACACAUGUGCAGUGACUCUUUAUUUAUGAUAAAGAUGUACCUGCAAAUUAUAGGACAAGAGUGUUUUUUCCCUGUGAAUAGUGCUGGGUCUAAUGUACAUAUAAAAAGAGAGGAAAAUCCUCAAUCAGUAGUUGACACACUAGACAAAUUUCAAUUCCAGGUCAAUUUUGUAUCUAAAUAUAAAUGAUAAAUAAUAAGGCUUCUUAAAGAUAAUAACAAAUAUUUUUAUGAAUGAUUACAAUACAGGACAUAAACAAUACUAACAAAAAUAUUAGUAAUGCUUUCAUUAAAAUUGAGAAUUCCCAUUUAUCAAAAGAUACUAUUAUUAAGAGAGUAAGAAGUCAAGUGAAAUAUACCUCCUAUAUUUCAGUAGGUAAAUAUAUUUUCAAUGUAUGUAAUGGUUAGAAGUGUCAUGUUCAAUAUACAUUAAGAGCUCCUCCAAAUGAAUAAAAAUUGGACAGAUGGUCCAAUAGAAAAAUGUAUGAGAGAACUAAACAAACUUCGCACAAGAGGAUCUCCAAAUGGCCAAUAAAUACAUUAUAAUAUGCUUAACUUCAUUCCACAGCAAAUAAAUGAAAUCUCAGUACAAUAGCCUGCAUAUCAACCAUAAUGACUGAAAUUAAAAAUACUAAUAAUACUAAGUACUCACAGUAAUGUAGAGCAAUCCUGUUUCUAAUGAGACAAUAACUUGUUAAAUCUUUCUAAAGCUUAGUAUGUAUGCACUCUAUAACCUAAGAAUUCCAUUCCAAAGUAUAUUCUCAACAAAUGUGUACAUAUGUGCGCCAAAGGACAUGCACAAAAAUGUCAUAGAGGCAUCAUUUUUUAUAUAUUUUUACUGUGGUGAAAUAACAUUAAAUUUUGCCAUGAUAACCAUUUUUAAGUGUACAGUUCAAAGUAUGAACUAUAUUUAGAUUUUUGAGCAACUGAUCUCUAGAAAUUUUUCAUCUGAAACUCCAUCCCCAUUAAACACUCUUCCAUAUAUCCCUCCCCCGAUGCUUGGCAACUACCUUUCUGCUAUUUCUAUCCCUCUGACUAAUUCAAAUAUUUUGUAGGAGUAGAACCAUAUAGUAUUUGUCUUUUUGUGACUACCUUAAUUUGCUUAGCAUAAUAUGUUUAAGUUUGGUCCUGUUGUGGCAUAUGAUAGGAUUUAUUUUCUUUAUAAGGCCAAGUAAUCUAUUGUGUGAACGUAUCACAUUUUCUUUGUGUAUUCAACUGUUGAUGAACAUUUGAUUUGCUUCCACCUCUUUUGUGAAUGAUAAUGCUAUGAAUAUGGAUUUGCAAUUAUAACUUGGACAUCCUGCUUUGAAUUCUUUUGGUAAAUACCCAGAAGCGGUAUUGCCAGAUCACAUGGAGCUUCUAUACUAUUCUUUAUAGUCACAAAACCAUUUUACAUUCCGACCAAUAGUGCACAAGAGUUUCAGCUUCUCCACAUCCUUGCUAAUGCUUGUCCUUUUCUUUUCAUUUAUUUAUUUUUUGAUAGCAGCCAUCCUAAUAGAUGUGACAUUAUAACCUCAUUGUUGUUUUGAUUUUGUUUCUCCGACAAUUAGUAAUGUUAAACAUCUUUAUAUUUAUUAACUAUUUGUAUAUCUUUUAGAUAUUGCUGAUUCACAUUCUUUGCUCAUUUUUAAUCAACUUUUAUUGUUGUUAAGUUGCAGAAGUUCCUUAUAAAUUCUGGAUAUUAAUCUCUUAUCAGAUAUAUGAUUUGCAAAUAUUUUUUCUCUGUAGAUCGCCCUUUUACUCUGUUGACUGUUUCUUUUGAUGCACAGAAGUUUUUGAGUUUGAUGUGGUCUUGUUUGUCUAUGUUUGCUAAAAGCAGCAUUAUUUUCACUAGCUCCAAGUGAAAACCUCCAAAAUGUCUAUUGUUAGUGGAUCAAUAAAUAAGGUGUGGCAUAUUUAUAUCUUAGAAUAAUAUAUGACAAGAAAUAUGAAAUAACUGCUGGUAAAUCAAUAGUAUAAAUCUAUUCCACAAACAUAUAUUCAGUGAAAGAAACCAGCCAACAUCGUAUACUGUAUGCUUCAUUUAUUUAAAGUUUAAAAAUAGGAAAAAUUAAUCAAGUCUAUUAUAAUUCACAGAG